ensembl:misc_RNA Metazoa_SRP Metazoan signal recognition particle RNA
GCUGGGUGUGGCAGUGUGCACCUGUAGUCCCAGCUACUUAGGAGGCUGAGAUGGGAGGAUUGCUUGAGCCCAGGAGUUCGAGACUGCAGUGAGCUAUCAUAUGAUUGUGCCACUGCACUCGAGCCUGGGUGACAGAGCAAGACUCCAUUUCUA